rnacentral:rRNA from 1 species
UACGUAGGGCGCAAGCGUUGUCCGGAAUUAUUGGGCGUAAAGAGCUCGUAGGCGGCCAGUUGCGUCCGCUGUGAAAUCCCGGGGCUUAACCCCGGGCGUGCAGUGGAUACGGGCUGGCUAGAGGCAGGCAGGGGAGAACGGAAUUCCGGGUGUAGCGGUGGAAUGCGUAGAGAUCCGGAAGAACACCGGUGGCGAAGGCGGCCUGCUGGGCAGUGGCUGACACUGAGGCGCGACAGCGUGGGGAGCAAACAGGG